rnacentral:miRNA from 1 species
UUGAAAAAGAAGUCCCUAGUUC